rnacentral:rRNA from 1 species
UACGUAGGGGGCAAGCGUUGUCCGGAUUUAUUGGGCGUAAAGAGCGUGUAGGCGGUUUUACAGGUCCGCUGUGAAAACUCGAGGCUCAACCUCGGGCCUGCAGUGGGUACGGGCAGACUAGAGUGCGGUAGGGGAGAUUGGAAUUCCUGGUGUAGCGGUGAAAUGCGCAGAUAUCAGGAGGAACACCGAUGGCGAAGGCAGGUCUCUGGGCCACUACUGACGCUGAGAAGCGAAAGCAUGGGGAGCGAACAGG